rnacentral:siRNA from 1 species
UGGCCGGUGGAAAAGAUUUUGC